rnacentral:rRNA from 1 species
UGGGGAAUAUUGGACAAUGGGCGAAAGCCUGAUCCAGCAAUGCCGCGUGAGUGAUGAAGGCCUUAGGGUUGUAAAGCUCUUUUACCAGGGAUGAUAAUGACAGUACCUGGAGAAUAAGCUCCGGCUAACUCCGUGCCAGCAGCCGCGGUAAUACGGAGGGAGCUAGCGUUGUUCGGAAUUACUGGGCGUAAAGCGUACGUAGGCGGUGACUCAAGUCAGAGGUGAAAGCCUGGAGCUCAACUCCAGAACUGCCUUUGAAACUAGGUCGCUAGAAUCACGGAGAGGUGAGUGGAAUUCCGAGUGUAGAGGUGAAAUUCGUAGAUAUUCGGAAGAACA